rnacentral:rRNA from 1 species
CCUACGGGAGGCAGCAGUGAGGAAUAUUGGUCAAUGGGCGCUAGCCUGAACCAGCCAAGUCGCGUGAAGGAUGAAUGAUCUAUGGUUUGUAAACUUCUUUUAUAUGGGAAUAAAGUGAGGUACGUGUACUUCUUUGUAUGUACCUUAUGAAUAAGCAUCGGCUAACUCCGUGCCAGCAGCCGCGGUAAUACGGAGGAUGCGAGCGUUAUCCGGAUUUAUUGGGUUUAAAGGGUGCGUAGGUGGUUAGUUAAGUCAGCGGUGAAAGUUUGUGGCUCAACCAUAAAAUUGCCGUUGAUACUGGUAGACUUGAGUAUAUUAGAGGUAGGCGGAAUUCGUGGUGUAGCGGUGAAAUGCAUAGAUAUCACGAAGAACUCCGAUUGCGAAGGCAGCUUGCUAGACUAUAACUGACGCUGAAGCACGAAAGCGUGGGGAUCAAACAGGAUUAGAUACCCGGGUAGUC